GGAAACUCGUCACUCUGUACACUAGGUAGGGCGCCUGUGGAGGAAGAACGGACCGGUUUGAGAUGCGGCAACAUUCCCUCCGCUAUAUACGUGGCACCUCAGAAAAGUGAGAAGGCAUGUUAUAGGCUGGAGUGUGGACGAGAAAUCGAACAAACCUUCUUGACCCGUCUCGCAGUGUACAGCCCGACUCCGUCCUGGACUUUGGAGGACUUCAGAGCGAACCUGUCUGGCACGUACAUGCCCAGCAUUGUCAUUACUGAUCAUGGAAAGAUGAAAAUGUCCUGCCACAAAAAAAAGAGGAAAAAAGGCUUAAAUCUGUUUCUUUCUCUCGCUUUAUUUGCUGCUACACGCUUUCCCUCAGAACCGCAGCUCAGAGCUCGUCCAUGUCGCUUUGCCUCGCUGUGAUUGGUGGAAAGUUCGUAACCCAGGGCAACAUGUUUUUCUGACUAGGCGGGGCUUCCGGGUUGUUCGCGUGACGUCACGGUGACGAAGCGCCCUGAUUGGUGGAACUCGUCUUUGAGCGUCAUUGAGAUGAAAGAUGCUCUGGAGGAAAGUUCUGGCUUUGAGUGUUUCAGAGUUUCAGUGUAUUUUACUGUUUUAUUUCAAUAAAUGUGUUUAUCUUUAAUAAAUACUUAACAGAUAAACA